rnacentral:misc_RNA from 1 species
UCGUUGUGUGAUGUGAUUUAGAAUUUAAGUUUGCUGGCAGACCCUAGCUUCUUAUCAUUCCAGGUCUCAAUCAAUUGAGAUUAGGUUGAUAGGACGCUGGGCUCACUGUAAUUCACAAGAAUUGCAGAGAUGUUCAGCAGAACCUUGACAACUGCAUAGGUAAGUCUGGAAAGAAUAAAGCAUCUCAUGGAUGCAUGAUUCUUGGGAAUCAGCUGAUGCAAUCUGCGCGAGUAGAGAGCUGAGGUUGAUGAACGAGAAUGAUGUUUGAUUCUUGAGUCAAGAGCCGAGACUCUAUAGCGUUCUUUCGAUGUCAUCGAGGCAUCAAGAGUUUGAUUGGUCAUUCAAACCAUCUUCAAUGACAAACAAUUCGGUUUAACU